rnacentral:rRNA from 1 species
AAUGAACGCUGGCGGCGUGCUUAACACAUGCAAGUCGAGCGAGAAAGCACCCUUCGGGGUGUGAGUAAAGCGGCGAACGGGUGAGUAACACGUGGGCAACCUACCUGGGAGCGGGGGAUAACCUGGGGAAACUCGGGCUAAUACCGCAUAUCUCUUCAGGACCUCGGUCUUGAAGGGAAAGCUGGCCACUACAUGUAAGCUGGCACUCCCAGAGGGGCCCGCGCUCGAUUAGCUUGAUGGUGAGGUAACGGCUCACCAUGGCGACGAUCGAUAGCCGGCCUGAGAGGGCGAUCGGCCACACUGGGACUGAGACACGGCCCAGACUCCUACGGGAGGCAGCAGUGGGGAAUAUUGGACAAUGGGGGCAACCCUGAUCCAGCAACGCCGCGUGGAGGACGAAGGCCUUCGGGUCGUAAACUCCUGUCAGAUGGGACGAAAAGGCGUCGUUAAACAGGCGGCGCUCAUGACGGUACCACCAGAGGAAGCCCCGGCUAACUCCGUG